CAGAGCCAUAUGGGAAAUCCUUGGACUUUGGUCCCAAAAUCCCAUCUCAGGCAGCCCCUGUGGCAGCUUCUAGCAGGAAGAGGGUGGGUGGGGCAGGUGGCCCCCACUGAAGCUCCUGCUCUCCGUGCCUCCAGGAGAGAUCCUGGUGCAGAUGUCAGAUACCCAGCGGCACCUGAACUCCGACCUGGAGGUGGUGGUGCAGACAUUCCAUGGAGACCUACUGCAGCACAUGGAGAAGAACACCA
rnacentral:lncRNA from 1 species